GCCGGAGUGGCGGAACAGGCAGACGCAAGGGACUUAAAAUCCCUCGGUAAUUAUUUACCGUACCGGUUCGAUUCCGGUCUCCGGCA
rnacentral:tRNA from 1 species